CGCCCCCACCACACGCCCGGUCCUCCCGCACGCACGCGCCCCCGGCUGCCCUCGCGUCUUGGCGCCCGCAACCCCGCGCGUGAGUCGUCGGUCGGUGGAGCGCACGGGAACGGCAGGCGUCAAGGGGGGUCGGGGAGCGCUGGCUUUCUCCCUUCUCUCCUAGUGAGGGCGGUUCGGCGUUCUUUUCCUUCCUCACGGUGUCAGUCGGAACCAGGUUAGCACUGCGGCGUCUGCACGAGGAGUGGUGCCAGUUGAGCUGUACUUGUAUUCUGUGUGUCAAGCAUGGCCCUGUUUUAGGGGAGAAGGACAUAUGGAGAAGGAGAGGAGAUACAGAAAAACCUUAAACAUUUUAUUAAGAUACUUAAGGAAAGCAUAACAGCUUCAGGAAAAUCGCUGUCUUUGAGGAGAGCAGAGAAUGAGAUGGGAAAAGUCUUCAACUGGCAGACUCUUAACCACUGGACCACAAAUGAUGCUUCCUAAAGCCCACUUGACUUCACAUUCCAGGAUGUCUGGCUCUAGGAAUGCUCCCAGCUUGGAGAUGGUGGACAGCUGCUGAGGGGUGAGGAAUCAACCAAGGCUGAGAUGCUCUCUGCAAAGGCCUCUCAGACAUUUACCCAUUGCCCAUCCUCCCAUCCACAUCAGCACCUGAAAAUAUCUUAGGCCAACAGGAAGGCAAGCACUGUGCUUCCAGCAAGCCAUGGCUCCUAUACCUGACUUCUGGAGUCCUGGUCCUGACAUUUUGCUCUGACAUAUUGAGGCCAUGUCUCUUGAUCUGUCUGUGUUGCCAGUUAUACAACCUCUUAUACAACUGGACCUAGGGAUUUUCCAUUUAUGUCUCCUUAAGGGUUUUCCAGGAAUAUUCCUGACUACAAUAUACAUCUUUUCCAUUCUCUCCUUUUCAUUCACAGGGAUGUCCAGUAAAGGGCAGGCACAGUUUAUGCAC
ensembl:lncRNA